UCCGGUUGAUCCUGCCGGACCUGACUGCUAUCGGAUUGAUACUAAGCCAUGCGAGUCAUUGUAGCAAUACAAGGCAUACGGCUCAGUAACGCGUAGUCAACCUAACCUAUGGACGGGAAUAACCUCGGGAAACUGAGAAUAAUGCCCGAUAGAACAUUAUACCUGGAAUGGUUUAUGUUCCAAAUGAUUUAUCGCCAUAGGAUGGGACUGCGGCCUAUCAGUUUGUUGGUGAGGUAAUGGCCCACCAAGACUAUUACAGGUACGGGCUCUGAGAGGAGUAGCCCGGAGAUGGGUACUGAGACACGGACCCAGGCCCUAUGGGGCGCAGCAGGCGAGAAAACUUUGCAAUGUGCGAAAGCACGACAAGGUUAAUCCGAGUGAUUUCUGCUAAAGAGAUCUUUUGUUAGUCCUAGAAACACUAACGAAUAAGGGGUGGGCAAGUUCUGGUGUCAGCCGCCGCGGUAAAACCAGCACCUCAAGUGGUCAGGAUGAUUAUUGGGCCUAAAGCAUCCGUAGCCGGCUCUGUAAGUUUUCGGUUAAAUCUGUACGCUCAACGUACAGGCUGCCGGGAAUACUGCAGAACUAGGGAGUGGGAGAGGUAGACGGUACUCGGUAGGAAGUGGUAAAAUGCUUUGAUCUAUCGAUGACCACCUGUGGCGAAGGCGGUCUACCAGAACACGUCCGACGGUGAGGGAUGAAAGCUGGGGGAGCAAACCGGAUUAGAUACCCGGGUAGUCCCAGCUGUAAACUAUGCAAACUCAGUGAUGCAUUGGCUUGUGGCCAAUGCAGUGCUGCAGGGAAGCCGUUAAGUUUGCCGCCUGGGAAGUACGUACGCAAGUAUGAAACUUAAAGGAAUUGGCGGGGGAGCACCACAAGGGGUGAAGCCUGCGGUUCAAUUGGAGUCAACGCCGGA
rnacentral:rRNA from 1 species